CCGUGUGUCUCAAAAGUGUUGAACUCUUGGUGGUGUGGAGCUUCUUCUAGCCCUGCAGUAAUGCAUGCGUGUCUGAAGUGAUUGUGGCCCUCUGCAAGAACAGUUCCCUCGUGUUGUUUGCGCGUGUGUUUGCUGAUGAGCUUUAUCAAAAGAAUCGCACUCAACGUAGAACAAAUUCGAGAAGCGAGAAGGAGAAACAACAACGGUACCCCCUUUCUCUGAAGCUGAAAAGUGGUUGUGUUGUGCUGCUGUGAGAAGGAAAUGCCGAAAAAGCAUGUAGUCCCGGCGGGUGCAAACGGCUGCUGUUGGGCAUUCUGGGGCACAGUGGUCAUGCAAAAGUGUCAGAGAGCCACAACAAUGACAACGAAACUAGAAAACUAACAUUUUGAUUAAAUUUAGUGUAAGAUUAGUCACAAGAAAAAUUGGGAAAUAACCAACACUGGUGCUUUAAUUUUAAUCAAAACGUCAAAAAGUAGGUCAAAAUGACAUUUAUGGUUUGUUCUUUAGAUUAUAAUUAAAGUAUUCAAAAUAUGCCGAAUGCCAAGCCAAAUAUUUUAAGUUCAUCACAUGAUAUUGUACAACUUA